rnacentral:rRNA from 1 species
UACGGAGGGUGCAAGCGUUAUCCGGAAUGAUUGGGCGUAAAGCGUCCGCAGGUGGCUGUGUAAGUCUGCUGUCAAAGAGCAAAGCUCAACUUUGUAAAGGCAGUGGAAACUACACGGCUAGAGUGCGUUCGGGGCAGAGGGAAUUCCUGGUGUAGCGGUGAAAUGCGUAGAGAUCAGGAAGAACACCGGUGGCGAAGGCGCUCUGCUAGGCCGCAACUGACACUGAGGGACGAAAGCUAGGGGAGCGAACAGG